rnacentral:rRNA from 1 species
AGUGAACGCUGGCGGUAGGCCUAACACAUGCAAGUCGAACGGCAGCACAGUAAGAGCUUGCUCUUACGGGUGGCGAGUGGCGGACGGGUGAGGAAUACAUCGGAAUCUACUUUUUCGUGGGGGAUAACGUAGGGAAACUUACGCUAAUACCGCAUACGACCUACGGGUGAAAGCAGGGGAUCUUCGGACCUUGCGCGAUUGAAUGAGCCGAUGUCGGAUUAGCUAGUUGGCGGGGUAAAGGCCCACCAAGGCGACGAUCCGUAGCUGGUCUGAGAGGAUGUUAGGCCACCCAGAACGUGAGCACCGGCCAGACUCCUACGGGAGGCAGCAGUGGGGAAUAUUGGACAAUGGGCGCAAGCCUGAUCCAGCCAUACCGCGUGGGUGAAGAAGGCCUUCGGGUUGUAAAGCCCUUUUGUUGGGAAAGAAAAGCAGCAGGUUAAUACCCCGCUGUUCUGACGGUACCCAAAGAAUAAGCACCGGCUAACUUCGUG